CUGAUAGGAGAGCAUCCCGCAUGAACAGGGGGAAAUUCCUGACAGGAGAGCAUCCCACACCUUCAGCAGAGCAUCCCAGGCAGGGAAGCUCCCCCGGGCUGGUCCGUGGCUCUUGUGACACGGAGUGCUGGGAAUCCCUCAUGGCACGAGUGACCCGCGGCUGGUCCGGCCCCGUUCCGGGCUGGGACACCCGGGGCUGUCGCACCCCCACGGACACACGGACAUGGACACACGGACACAGGCACACGGACACGGACACAAGGACACGCCGCCCGUUCCCUGCAGGACCCCUCUGGGAGUGAGAUCCCCUCACCGGGCAGGAAUUACUGGCUGGUUGUGAGCGAAGAGUGAAGCAGAGCUGCCUCCCUCUCUUCCAGGUUUUGCCAUAACCCAGCUGGUUCUGGCCCGGUUUGGGAGACGAGCGUUUCCUGCGCCCGUCCACGCCAUUGCAGACAAAUUGAUGGAGUCAGCAGGAUGGGAAGUGUUAUCACGUACUACACAAAUAUGGAAUAAAUUCAAGUCUCAGAUUAUCAGAUAAA